UGUAAUUUUUUUCCCUCAAAAUAUGAUGAUGAUGAUAAUUUAUCACAACUAGAAAGAAAGGUCGUGACAGUGAUUAAAGAAGGCAAAAUUCAGUGGGGGCUACAAAAAUUGUAGGUGUAGUUACAAUAUCCCUAUAUAUAGAGAGAGCAUGAGCAGAGUUGAAAUGGGUUUUUGGGGUGUUUUUAUUUUUCGUCUUCACCUCAGUUACAAAAAUGAGUUGUGAAUGAGAACUGAAAAACCCUAAAAUUCUCCCUUGAAGGAGCUCCCUUUUACAAUCCAAAUCCUAGAUAAGGUCUUCUAAGAUACUCUUUUCAACUACGUUUCACUUCUAUUUCUUCUUCCAACGUUUGUUCUACAAUUAAGAAAACCCGUCAGAGUUUGACAUCAAAUGAUGAGGUUAUAGUUUUGAACUUGGAUUACAAAAUUGAUAUUAUAUGUUACAAAUCCAAAGGUAAGUGCAAUCAUGCUCGGGGCUAGCUCAACCUACUAGGGUUGUAAAACAUUAUGAUAUGAAUCGAUUUAUAUGAAAUUUGAGAUAUGAUUAUCCGAAGAUUUGUAUAAGAUCUAUGGAUUUUGAAAAGAAAGCUUUUGAUAUAUAUAAUGGAUGUAGUCACAACUGCUCCAGAUUUGAGGAAUACUUUAUAUAGAAGGAGGAGUCGAUUUUAUAAGAGAGUUAGAAAACUUUGAUAAGACUAUUUCAGUUUCAUGCGAUCACCCAUUUGUUAGUUGAGAAGCAUGAAAUUAAACCACCAAGUUCAAAUUUUGGAUUUCUUGAUGGAUAAUUAUUGAAAUUUGAAACAUCUUGAUAAUACUAGUGAAUGUAACAAUGAACAUUCAAUUUUUCAUUCA